rnacentral:rRNA from 1 species
UACAGAGGUCCCAAGCGUUGUUCGGAUUCACUGGGCGUAAAGGGUGCGUAGGCGGUCGAGUAAGUCUGACGUGAAAUCUCCGGGCCUAACCCGGAAACUGCGUUGGAAACUACUUGGCUAGAGGAAUGGAGGGGAGACUGGAAUACUUGGUGUAGCAGUGAAAUGCGUAGAUAUCGGGAGGAACACCUGUGGCGAAAGCGGCGCACUGGACCAUAACUGACGCUGAGGCGCGAAAGCUAGGGGAGCAAACAGG